rnacentral:rRNA from 1 species
GGGUGGGUAGGGGAGCGUCCUGCAGCCGGUGAAGCCGCCGAGUGAUCGAGUGGUGGAGGCUGUGGGAGUGAGAAUGCAGGCAUGAGUAGCGAGUCAAGAGUGAGAAACUCUUGCGCCGGAUGACCAAGGGUUCCUGGGGCAGGCUAAUCCGCCCAGGGUAAGUCGGGACCUAAGGCGAGGCCGACAGGCGUAGUCGAUGGACAACGGGUUGAUAUUCCCGUACCCGCUGGUAUGCGCCAACGCUGAAUCCUCUGAUGCUAAGACUCCGAAUCCUGGUCGGUGCCUUCGGGUGCUGGUCGGGCCUAGCGGUCGACCCGAGGGGGUAGUAGGUGAGUGAUGGGGUGACGCAGGAGGGUAGCUCAGCCCAGGCGAUGGUUGUCCUGGGGUAAGCAUGUAGCCCGUGUCGUAGGCAAAUCCGCGGCACAUUAAGGGUGAGAUGUGAUGCCGAGCCGUUUUAGGUGAAGUGAGUGAUCCCAUGCUGUCGAGAAAAGCCUCUAGCGAGUGUACUGGCGGCCCGUACCCUAAACCGACUCAGGUGGUCAGGUAGAGAAUACCAAGGCGAUCGGGUGAACUGUGGUUAAGGAACUCGGCAAAUUGCCCCCGUAACUUUGGGAGAAGGGGGACCGUGCCCGGUGAACGCCCUUGCGGUGGGAGCUGGGUGUGGUCGCAGUGGCCAGGGGGAAGCGACUGUUUACUAAAAACACAGGUCCGUGCGAAGUCGUAAGACGCUGUAUACGGACUGACGCCUGCCCGGUGCCGGAACGUUAAGAGGACCGGUUAGAUCCUUUUGGGGUCGAAGCUGAGAAUCUAAGCGCCGGUAAACGGCGGUGGUAACUAUAACCAUCCUAAGGUAGCGAAAUUCCUUGUCGGGUAAGUUCCGACCUGCACGAAUGGCGUAACGACUUCCCCGCUGUCUCAACCACAGGCCCGGUGAAAUUGCAGUACGAGUAAAGAUGCUCGUUUCGCGCAGCAGGACGGAAAGACCCCGGGACCUUCACUAUAGCUUGGCAUUGGCGUUUGGAGCGUCUUGUGUAGGAUAGGUGGGAGACUGUGAAGCCGGCACGCCAGUGUCGGUGGAGUCGUUGGUGAAAUACCACUCUGGUCGUUUUGAGCGUCUAACCCGCGCCCGUGUAUCCGGGUGGGGGACAGUGCCUGGUGGGUAGUUUAACUGGGGCGGUUGCCUCCUAAAGUGUAACGGAGGCGCCCAAAGGUUCCCUCAGCCUGGUUGGCAAUCAGGUGGUGAGUGUAAGGGCACAAGGGAGCUUGACUGUGAGACGGACGUGUCGAGCAGGUGCGAAAGCAGGGCCUAGUGAUCCGGCAUCUACGUGUGGAAGUGGUGUCGCUCAACGGCUAAAAGGUACCCCGGGGAUAACAGGCUGAUCUUCCCCAAGAGUCCAUAUCGACGGGAUGGUUUGGCACCUCGAUGUCGGCUCGUCGCAUCCUGGGGCUGGAGUAGGUCCCAAGGGUUGGGCUGUUCGCCCAUUAAAGCGGCACGCGAGCUGGGUUUAGAACGUCGCGAGACAGUUCGGUCCCUAUCCGCUGCGCGCGUAGGAGAAUUGAGAGGGUCUGUCCCUAGUACGAGAGGACCGGGACGGACGAACCUCUGGUGUGCCAGUUGUCCCGCCAGGGGCAUGGCUGGUUGGCUACGUUCGGUCGGGAUAACCGCUGAAAGCAUCUAAGCGGGAAGCCUUCCUCGAGAUGAGUUCUCCCACCCCUUUUUGUGGGUGUAAGGCUCCCGGUAGACGACCGGGUUGAUAGGCCGGGUAUGGAAGCGCGGUAACGUGUGGAGUUGACCGGUACUAAUAGGCCGAGUGGCUUGAACACACAA